CAUACCCAUCAGCUCCGACAAGAGAAAAUAAUUAAUAACAUAUAACAUAACAGCAACAAGGGAGGGUGGGUAGGAAGCUGUUACCAAGCUGUUAUUUCUAAGAUGGCUGAGGUCAAAGGGCAAAAUGCCUGCCUAUUUAUAUGGCCCAACCCCUUAUCCAUUUCCUUGAACACUCCCCUAUUUUACACCUACACUCACACAUGCCUCUUAUCC